rnacentral:antisense_RNA from 1 species
GCGACCGGGGGCUGCCUGGGCAAGGGCGGGGCGAGAGGGCAGAACGCCUGCUCUCGGACAGGGUGUUCUUAAAAUACACCGGAAAGAACGGAGGUAAAAAUACUGGAGUGUUUCCUCCACACUGGAAAGAGGGCAGCGCUGUGAACAAUGGAGCCAUCAAAAAGGCCUUCUCCCAGCCUCCUCACCAACCACGGACAUUCCUGGCCCAACAAGCCCUCCUGGCCAGGUUUUGAGCCCUGCUUCCCAGAUCUGGGGACCCUUCACCUGCCUCUACUACUGCAAAUGAUUGGAUAUUCGUCUGCCUUGGCUCUUCCCUAAUGUGUGGAACUAAUUUUGUUCACUCUGUUUCAUGCUGGACCUGGCCUGAAAAUGGGCCCUUAUAUUGUCUUUGCACUUUCCAACUUGCCAAGUUUCUGAAAGAAGGACCAAAGUAAUGCCAAGAACUCCCAGAUGAAGAGGACCUUCCUUAGACCUAUAACAGAUUCACUACUUGACUUUAGAGGGAAGUUUCAGCUAAUUCUCAGGAAAAGGUCAAAACAGGCCUGUGACUGUCCCUUGAAUACUGAAGGUAUAAACAAGCUUCUGGCUCCUCCAGGUCAAGCAGAGGAACACUUUUAUUAGAA